rnacentral:lncRNA from 1 species
UCUAUGUUCUUUGUAAUUAUUUUGGUAGAAUAUGUUCUCAACAGAAUUUUCAGCUGUCCUAAGAUUAUUGAUCGAUUGGUUUGGGGGUCAUAAAAAACGUGGCAAAGAAAGUUAUCAUUAAAAAAAUAAAGUAACACUCAAAAGAUUUUGACUUCUGUGAAUGAAGAAAUAACACCAGGUGCUUGACAAUGCACUUUAUAAUUUAACACCUCAGUGAUUUUAAAGUAACAAAUGGCUGAUGUGUAAUUUCUACUCUCAGCUUCAGUAAGAGAUGGGCUUGCCUCUGCCACUUGGAUUUACUUUCAUGUCUCCUGGCUCCAGGAAGCUAGUUCUAAUCAAGGAUGCACACCACUCAUCAGAAUGUUACAAUUUCUAUGUGAUCUGCUGCUUCAUUUUGUUCCAUUUAAGGUUUGGGGGAAUCAGAUGGAUAGGGCAUGCACAUUUUGAAAUCUGCAGCUCUGUGGACAAUGGGUUGUACGGGAUGGAGACCACAUACAUCGCAGACAAUGCAGUGCACACAUCUUACCAUACUUUCAGCUGCUGCAGGAAUCACCCAACUGUCCGGCCCUAUGAAGAGAUAUUUCCAUCACUGCAGACCUUUCUGCACAUUCCAUCACACACAGUCUGAAUACUGAAACAGGUUCUGGCUUGUUAUUUUUCCUUAGCAACAUCAUUUGAAAAGAAAAGCUUCUGACUUUGCUGAAGUCCUUCCACACGCCAUCACUCUAUCCUGCUGCCAUGGUGAGCUGUCUAAAGCAGAAGUCUGAGUAAGUGCUUCUUCUGCCUCGUGGCCCUCUAAGGAUGGUUAGCAUCAAAAAC